AGGACGAACGCUGGCGGCGUGCCCAACACAUGCAAGUCGAACGAGGUCCAUGCAGUGGCAACACUGCGGAAGACCUAGUGGCGAACGGGUGAGUAACACGUGAGGAACUUGCCCCGGAGACCGGGAUAACCCUUCGAAAGGAGGGCUAAUACCGGAUGUCCUCACCGAGUCGCAUGGCUUGGUGAGGAAAUGGAUUCCGCUCCGGGAGAGCCUCGCGGCCUAUCAGCUAGUUGGUGGGUAACGGCCCACCAAGGCAUCGACGGGUAGCUGGUCUGAGAGGACGAUCAGCCACACUGGGACUGAGACACGGCCCAGACUCCUACGGGAGGCAGCAGUGGGAAUCUUGCGCAAUGGGCGAAAGCCUGACGCAGCAACGCCGCGUGCGGGAUGAAGGCCUUGGUUGUAACCGCUUUCAGUGGGACGAACCAAGACGUACCCACAGAAGAACGCCCCGGACCAACUACGUGCCAGCCAGCCGC
rnacentral:rRNA from 1 species